CAUAGAACUCCUAGCUUUUCUAACAUAACAACAUGUUUUGCUUCACCAUUUAGAAGAGCUAAUCCAUUUCUAGCUUUGCCUACCCAGAUAAAUUGGAAUUAAACAAUAUGCGACAGACAAAACGUGUUCAUGGUUUACAGUUUUGAUCACUUCUUGUUUAACUUUGUUUUGGUAAAUUUCACAUGCAACGCAAACAAAACUUUUUUUGCACUCAUAUAAGUGCAAAUAAUGCAAAGCACACCACAUAUAACACAUAGUAGUGGCAAAUCCGUAACUGACUAAAACAAUCGAAGUGGCACAUAGACCCGACUAGAUGGGAAAAACAGAAUUAUUACAAGUUGUAUUAUUUUGUUACAAUGAUUUUUGUAACAGCGAUUGUUAUAAAUCAUGUACCGUAAGUAGCCAAGAUAACAAAAUUUCUAACAAAACUCGUUCCAAUUGAAACAAAAAUAUAACAAGUCGAGAUAUAAUCAUAACAAGAUUAUAUCAAAUUUUGUUAGAUUAAGCUUGUGAAAUCAUAACACAAUUAUUACAAGUUCUGUUAUACUUCAGAGCAAAUUUGUUACAAGUUUUAUUAUGAAUCUCUUGGCCCGAGUGCCCAAAAUAACAAAAAUUAUCAAUCUUUUUCGCGACAACACGCGACAACACAAACUUAUAAAUUUUGAAAUAAUGUUGUUAUAAAAAAUAUAACAGAGAUUGCAAUAAAUGUGUUACGAAAUUAUGUUAGAGGCAAUUAUAUUAUAAUGCAUAAUAUAGUAAAUGUUGCUAAACAUCUGUUCGAAUAAAUUAAUCAAUUUUUGUUAUAAUUUAGUUACUAAAAUUAUAAUAAAUGUUAAUAUAAUUUUGCUAUGGGUAAUCACAUGGGAAAAUCCUUAUAACAGAAUUAUAUCAACUAUUGUUAUGUCUAACAACAGUUGUUACAAUUUUGUUAUGAUCUUGUUAUGUGUUUCUGAUCGGGGAACCAAUGAAUGAUGACUGGGACUAGCAUAUCAUGCACAAUUAGAGAGUUCCACAUUUAAAAGUCAAUAACGGCCACGUCCUUACAGUCAUUGGGAAAGGGUAGGAAUGUUAGUUCUACAACCGUUGGAAAGAAACCGUGGAAUUAACCCACGGUUGUCUCGGCAAGGAUUAUUUGUUAAUAAUCUAGUGAAUCUAGGAGUCAGCUAUGAUAAUUGAUAUGGUCCACUCCACAGGCACAAUUACUAUAUUUCUAUGCUUCAAAAAAUGCAUUUUUAAGGCUUCUUUUUGCAUUGAUUUCAAGCCAUUGACAGGCGUGAGGACGUGAGUUAUGUGACGUGAAUAGUACUUUUGAUAAGACACUUAUUCCACCUAACACAACGCAAACCUUAUACGCGCUGCUAGCACUCAGUCUCACAGUUUCAGUCCCACAGGAAGUCCUGGUGGGUAAUUCUCGCUGAGACCGGCCCACUGUUUACACCUUGUCUUCAAAAAUGUUUAAGGUGACGAUUUUCUGGAAGUCCUCGGUAAUAAAGUAAGGAAAAUGUAUUUGGUUACUCAAAUUGAAGGACCCCCCGUGCAAUGUGGUGUAGAUUUAAAUCACAUUGCCCCUCGUGUUGGUUACAGCCACAAAAAUUUUAGCAGACCCCUCGAUUUUGGUCAAAUGGUGGCUCAUUUAAACCGUUAUAACUCGAAAGUUUGGGGCUGCAAAACGGUGAGUCGAUAAGGAGAGCGUCCAACAUAGCUCUGGUCCUCACAAGUUCCUACCUCAUGCUUCCACGGGUCAAACGAUGACAAAGACCGCCAGCUAAGAGUUGUGUGCUUAGCUGGUAGUGCAGCCUGGGCACUGUUGUCCUUCUGACUUCAGCUAGAUUGAGGAGGUACGUCCCGAGCGUCUGUUCACCAAGGAGGUGCGGCUCAAACAGCGUCUGUUCUGGCAUCCAGCGGCUGAGUAUGAAAUGCUAUAUUGCGUCAGCUAUACCUAAGAAGGCAGCCCCUUCAACGCAAUGUAGGCAGCGCGGCCCCGGUAAGGUAGCCUGCUGAAAACCUUCAAACACCCAGAAAAGCAAUAGUAGAGUAAACGGAUUGAUUCAACGGCAACAGACCCGGCAACGAAUAAAGGACAACGAUUGGAAAGUCGGAUCUUGGAACGUGAGAACUUUGAAUGAACCCGCACGUGUUGGGCUCCUGGCUCGUGAACUGCAGAAUGUCGGCGUAAAUGUGGCCGCUAUCCAGGAGAUACGCUGGCCCAAAACUGGAGAACGCGAAUUCCGAGCGGUGGAUCCCAUCGCCAACACUUCAUUCAAGUACCACAUCUACUACAGCGGCGGCGAUAAGGCAGAACGCGGAGUUGGCUUUAUAGUGAUCGGGAAGCAGAUGAAGCGAGUUAUUCGGUGGAAGCCGAUAAGCGACCGAAUCUGUGUGUUGAGGAUGAAGGGCAAGUUCUUCAACUACAGCCUGAUCAGCAUCUAUGCGCCAACGAACGACAAACCCGAUGACAUGAAGGAUGAAUUCUAUGAGAGCCUUGAUAAGGCCUACGGAGAGUGCCCAAAACAAGAUGUCAAAAUAGUCAUCGGAGAUGCAAAUGCGCAGAUCGGCAGAGAAAGUUUCUUUCGGCCUGUCAUUGGAACGGAAAGCCUUCAUUCUGUUACCAACGAUAAUGGUCUGCGCCUUGUGACAUUCGCUGCUGCUAGAGGGAUGGCAAUCAGCAGUACCUACUUCGCACGUAAGAAUAUCCGAAAACACACCUGGCGACACCCGAGUGGUGACACUUGCUCCCAGAUAGACCACGUGCUGGUCGACGGGCGACAUUUCUCGGACGUCAUAGAUGUGAGGUCCUACAGAGGCCCGAACAUCGACUCGGAUCAUUAUCUUGUAGCCGCUAAAAUUCGGGCGCGAUUAUCCAGCGUCACGAGUUCAAGAAACAACAGGACGAUGCGUUUCAAUAUCCAGCGCUUGUCAGCCGAAGGGGUUGCUGCACAGUACCAUCAGAAGCUAGACGAGAGGAUAGGAGAGACCAACGGAUCUGGAGAUGUCAACAGCUUAUGGGGAAAUAUCCACGAAGCAGUGACAACAACAGCGCAAGAGGUGAUUGGUACCGCUCAGCGACGCCAACGUAAUGGUUGGUUUGACGAGGACUGCCAACGAGCGACGAACGAAAAGAAUGCCGCCAGAAGUCGAAUGCUAGUGGCCGGUACCCGGCAGAACAGAGAGCGGUACAGGGUUGCAAGAGCAGAAGAGAAACGAAUCCACCGCAGGAAAAAACGGCAACACGAAGAGAGUGUUAUUGCUGAAGCGCAGGAAAGUAUGGACAGGAACGAUAUGCGGAGGUUUUAUGCAACUGUCAAUGGCGCGCGGCACAAGACUGCGCCAGUGCCCGCCAUGUGCAAUGAUCGGGAAGGAAAUUUGCUGACAGACAAAACAAUGGUGGCAGCCAGGUGGAAGGAGCACUUCGAAGAUUUGUUGAAUGGUAGCAGCGAAGGAGCACCCAGGAACAGGAUUAACAUAAUGGAUGACAGUCAAGCAGUGGAACCACCAACACUGGAUGAGGUUAAAAAGGCCCUUAAGGAGCUGAAAAACAGCAAGGCUGCUGGGAAGGACGAGAUCCCGGUCGAACUUCUUAAGCACGGAAGCGAGCAGCUACAUCAAUCAAUCCAUCAGAUUAUUAUAAAGAUUUGGGAGGAUGAAGAAUUGCCCACCAGUUGGUUGAAUGGCCUCAUAUGCCCAAUCUACAAGAAAGGGCACAGACUGGAGUGUGCCAAUUACAGAGGGAUUACCCUUUUGAAUUCGGCGUAUAAGAUACUGUCGCGUAUCCUGUUCAACAGACUGCGACCUCUUGAGGAGUCCUUCGUCGGCGAAUACCAGGCUGGUUUUCGUGAGGGCCGAUCAACGACGGAUCAAAUGUUUACCCUGCGGAUGAUCCUAGAUAAAUUUCGGGAAUAUAACUUGCAGACUCACCAUCUGUUCAUUGAUUUUAAAGCAGCGUAAGAUUCAGUGAAAAGAAAUGAGCUUUGGCAGAUAAUGUCAGAACAUGGUUUUCCGGCGAAACUAAUUAGGCUGAUACGCGCAACGCUGGAUGGAUCAAAAUCAAGUAUUCGGAUCGCGGACGAAGUGUCUACGUCGUUUGUGACCUUGGAUGGAUUGAAGCAGGGGGAUGCUCUUUCAAAUUUAUUGUUCAACAUUGCACUCGAAGGAGCGAUUAGGAGGUCAGGCGUGCAGAGGAAUGGCUCUAUCAUCACACGGUCGCACAUGCUCCUCGGUUUUGCGGACGAUAUUGAUCUCAUCGGCAUCGAUCGUAGGGCAGUGGAGGAAGCUUAUGCUCCUCUGAAGAGAGAGACAGCGAGGAUAGGCUUGACGAUUAACUCUACCAAGACGAAGUACAUGAUAGCGGGUAGAGACAGAAGCAGGCCUAGUGGUGUUAGUGCUGAGGUAGUGAUUGAUGGGGAAGUGUUUGAAGUUGUUGAAGAAUUUGUUUAUCUUGGAACACUUGUGACAUGUGACAAUGACGUUUCCCGUGAAGUGAAAAGGCGUAUUGCAGCUGCGAAUAGGGCCUUUUACGGAUUGCGUAGCCAGCUUAGGUCCCGUAACUUGCAAACGCAAACAAAAUUCGCUCUGUAUAAGACGCUGAUUCUUCCGGUUGCCCUCUACGGUCACGAAGCGUGGACGUUAAAGGAGGUAGACCGAAAAGCUUUUGGAGUUUUUGAGCGCAAAGUACUGCGGACAAUUCUCGGUGGGAAACAAGAAAAUGGAAUGUGGCGCAGACGCAUGAAUCACGAGUUGUACCAAGUGUACGAAGAUGCGAAUAUUGUGAAACGUAUAAAAUACGGCAGACUUCAGUGGGCUGGACACGUAGUGCGAAUGUCGGAAGAAAGAAUAGCGAAAACAAUAUUCAGCAGAGAACCCGGUAGAGGUAGGCGACUUCGUGGGCGGCCGCGAACUCGCUGGCUGCACGCGGUUGAAGAAGAUCUACGAUCCCUACACGUUCGGGGAAACUGGAGGAACAUCGCCCAAGACCGACGAAGAUGGUGCUCUACUAUACGCUCGGCAUUGGAGUAAAGUUACUUUGUAGCCAACAAGGUAUCAAGGUAGGUAACUCGAAAGUUUCUCCAAAAAUCACCUCAAAACGCAUUGUUGUUGAAAAGAGGAAAGAUAGAGCUACUAUUUACAAUUAUAAAAAAUUGGGUCGGCCAUAGGUCGGCCUACUGAUUUUGGCCGCCAUCUCCAAAACGUGGCUUAAUUUACAAAACUGCAGAUAACUUUUGAUAGGAAAAAAGACAUCUCUAUUUUUUUGAUACCUAUGUAAUGUAUAAAUGUCUCGGCUUUCAAUUGAUGUCAUAGCUCGAUGUGAUUUUGAUGAGUUAUUCAAAAAUCUAGUGAAUAUCUCACGAAUAGCUCAAAGUGAUAUGAUAUCAGUUGUUGUUCUUGUCGAAAUAGCUGAAAAUUUCUACAUAAGAACAAAUUUAGCUCUUCUGUACGAAAUGGAACACAUACACCCAUAGAGAUGGCUCAAUGUUAGUGGAAUGCCAUGUGUCCCUUUCUGAGCUGUGAGUACGAAGAACCGCAUGCUCUUAUUCCCAUGUCAUUUACAACAGCGAGCCACAGUUGAGUGGUAAGCAUCGCCGCCUGUAAAUCCUAAGGUCUUAGGUUCGAUGCUGGAUGCUGCCAUUUUUUUAUUUUUUUUUUCUAGAAAAAUGUGACAAAUCUUGUCUGCUAUUGUUUUGAUCUUGUAAUAUCUUAACGAGCUAUUAUUAAGUAGUUCACCAUAUUAGAUUUUGCUAUUAUUUCUGUUCUUUUACCUCUUAUAUCAAUCAAACCAAUAUCAGUUUUUGCUCUUCAGUAAUUCAAUCAAUCAUAACUGAAUAUGCUAUUCAGCAGAUUUUUCCACCUACUCGGGUAGCUCUAUCUUUCCUCUUUUCAACAACAUUUCGUUUUGAGGUGAUUUUUGCAGAAAUUUUCGAGUUAUAACGGUUUAAAUGAAUCACCAUUUGACCAAAAUCGAGGGGUUUGCAAAAAUUGUUGUGGCUCUAACUAACGGGGGGUCCAUCAAGUUGAGUAACCAAAUGCAUUUUCCUUACCUUUUUUUGCGAGGACUUUCAGAAAAUCGCCACCCUAAACAUUUUUGAAGACAAGAUGUAAAUAGUGGGCCGGUCUCAGCGAGAAUUACCCAAUAGUAUAAAUAUAAGUAGUGCCAGCGUGUAACUUUUUACUGUUACACUUUAGAUAGUUAAUGUCUUUGAGAAAGUUGUUUUGACUAAAUAAACAACUAUUACUUGGACGUCAAAAUUCCACGGCCUACUGUUUUCAAAUUAUUGUAUACUAGCUGUCCCGGCAAACUUUGUCUUGCCAAGUUGUGGUGGAUUGACAAUUGUUGCAGCAAUGCAUGGCACUCUAGGUUGGUGUCAUUUUGAUCGUGUUGAUUUUCUUCCCCGGUUAUGAAAAAUCAAUACUUUAUAAUUUUUCUUAUUUUUUCAGUUUAUUUUCGUAACUUUUUGUACAUAUACAGUGUUUCAAACAAUUGUCCGUACAGCAAUGUUUUGGUCAAAAUAAUUUUUCGUUCAAAUGUUCAUAACUUUUUUAUACGUCAAUCAAAAAAGCUGAAAUUUUGAUCAACCAUGAAUCAUAUACCGUAAAACGGGGUAUCUUUGAUAAUGCGGGUAACUUUGAUAGUGCGGCAGGCAUUGUGUAAUUUAUCUUAUAACUAUGAUUCCUUCAACCAGUUAAGAAAAAGGUAAACGUUAAUCAAUUCUAUACAUAUGAAAGUUCAUCUUAGACGUAUUUUCAUUAAAAUCUAGUUUAUAUACAACUAUUUAGACAAAAAAUAAAAACUGUUGAUAUUUUUGUCAUUUAUCAACCCCUUCAAACAAUCUGCUAUACGACUUCGUUACAACUAUUUUUUCAAUGAAUGGACUCUUAUUCUCGGUAGAUUCAUCAUAGUAGAUUCCAAAUCUGGCCUUGAAUCUCUUAACGAAGUGUGUUUUCACGAAAUGAAAGCAAUUUUGUAAAUUGGGAUAUUAAUCUCCAUACAUUGGAAAACGCCUAAAAGUAUGCAAUGCCCUUGUAAUUUAAUGUAGAUAAAUAUGUGUUGUUCAAAAUUGGUUGAUAAAACAUUAAAAAUCUACCCAAAAAAAGAAAACUUACCAUGAAUAGCAUGUAAUUAUAUGUUGAUGUUACCGUUAAGCAUUUAUUAUUACAAAGAUAAUGAUUUUUGAUAGCUAAAUUUAUUGUGUUUUGCACUCAAUACUCCACAAACUCAUUUUUAUGUGUAGAAUUUAGUAAAAAAUCAAUGUUUUGAUAUAAAAAUUCUAUCUAAUAUAUUCCACAAGCCUUCUCUCAUCAUGUUCAUACUCCUAAGUUUUCAAUCUGUGAUUAUUUUUUGAGAUUUGAUGUGUUUUUAGGGCAUUAUCAAAGUCACCCCAGAAUGAAAAUCUGAUUUUCGGUUUUAUGAAAAACUAAAAGUUAUCCAAAGUAUUUCAGAUUGUCGAAUCUUUUAAUUGCAAUUGAUAACUAAUACCCCAGUACUUGUUUUAAAAAUAUAAAACUCGGGGAAAUACUAUUACAUGUAAAAAUAUUGAAAAAAAUCGCUGAAAAACUAUCAAAGUUACCCCAUUUUACGGUAUUAAAGAUCCAUUGGUAAAAUAUUGAGCGAGUUCGAAUAAGUUUUCUGAAAGUUAUAGAACUUUUUAAAAAACUUAUAAGAUUUUUGAACACAUUUUGAAAACAUUAUAUCUCAGUAUGCACUCGAUGAAACUUUUUCAACUUUUUUUGUUUUACAGCUGAUAUCUAAGGUUUUCAUAUGUAGCUACUUUUGAGGUUUUAUAUUCACUACAAAAAAUAUGAAAAUGUGCUUAUGUAGUUGACGAUGUUUAAAAAUUUACCUUAUUUUGCACAUAUAAUCUGCCAAACGUUUUCCACCAAUAAAAGUGCAUUAACUAAACGAAAAAUACAUAGGACCUACUCAUCAUAUGUAGUUUAGUAGGUCCUGUAUAAAUAUAUUAAUAAGAGAGUUUAAGAACGUUGAAAACACUUGGCACUUUUAUUGAUCAAAAUAUGAUAAAUUUCCAAAUAACACUCUGAACAUAUACAGAUUUUUCAUAUUUUUUGUAGUGAAUAUAAAACCUCAAACGAAGCUGCAUAUGAAAGCCUUUAAGUUGUAUCACAAAAAAAAUGGGAAAAAGUUUCAUCGAGUACAUAUUGAGAUAUAAUGUUGUGUUAAAAAAUCUUAUAAGUUUUACGAAAAGCUCUAUAAUUGUUGCUAUAACUAUCAGAAAACUUAUUCGAUUUCGUUCAAAAUUUUACCAAUUGAGCCUUAAUAUAUGGUUUAUGAUUGAUCAAAUUUUCAGUGUAUUUGAAUCACGUAUAAAAAAUUUUUCAUUUAAAUGAAAAAAUAUUUUGACCAAAAAAUUGCUGUACGAACAAUUGUUUGAUACACUGUAAACACUGGAAGAAUCAUGCCGAUCGGUUCAGCCGUUCGUAAGUUUUGUUGCCUCAAAAAAACUUCAAGCUCAUUUUUUUAUAUAUAGAUAAAUAGAUAAACUAGAUUUUUUUGAUAAAAAAUGGCAAUAAAACCCUUCUUGGUGCAAUAGUAUGAACUAUGUUUUAUUGUUAUUACUUUCACGAUACAAUAGUAGGUCAUGAAAGUUUCGUGGAGCUUCAGUUUCAUAAUCUCCAGAGAUUUAUCAACGUCCCACGGUGUUACAUCUCGAUUAUUAUUAAACUUUCAUGUACCUCAAAUUUUAAUCAUAAGAAAAUUUUUAUCAAUGAUUAAUCAGUGAUUAAACGCUUUUCGAAUGAUUAAAUGAGCUAAAAGCAUACAAGUUACGCUUAAUCGUAUGCAAUUAACGAGUUGAAUACUAAAGCAAGAUUGGUAUUUUAUGUGAUUAAAGCAAAUUUACCAAAAAGUUUACUGUAUAUUGAUGUAAAGUUGGAUUAAUCACUAUUUUAAAUCAUAAAUCUGUGAUUAAAAUUGAACGCUCUGCCUCUGCCAUUGACCAUUUUGCAUGUGUAUAUCGUGUGGCAGACACGAAGAUACACUAUAAGCCCAGUUUCGUGUUCAAAAGGAAUCGCUUAAGAAAGUUUUAACCGAUUCCUGUCAGAAACUUUCCACAGUGACUGCCAUUUGAAUUGUCAUUCCUUCGCAACUGCAUACUGGGAUCGAAGAAAAACGGUUUCUUGGGCGAUUCAGGCAAGGAAUUUCCCAUGCUUCAAGAUAGGCCAAAAAUUUCCUUCUGAGCUGCAAAUAGCCCUUAUAGGAGGUCAAAGAAUUUUUAUACCAGAAGCUCCUGAACCAACCGAGAUCGAUCUUGUCACCCUCAGCAUGAUCAUGCUGAAUACCCACGCCUUUACAGCUGUGGUUAUAUGGACGAAAUUCCAUGUUCAGUUCAAACAGAACAGGUAGGGAUUGUUCGAUGCUUUAUCUAGAAAGCUUUCUGAUAACGCAUGUUUGUCAUUUUGAAAUUUUUUGAUGUAUAUUCGGCCUCGUUUCUAACGUAGUUUGUAAUGCAAUAUUUAAGUAAAUAAUUAGAGAUUUUUUUUAGAAAUUCUGUAUGAAAAUGAUUUUUGUAUAAAAACAGUGUAACCGUUCGUCGAAUAAGCACGAGAGAAUCUAAACGCGGUGGCUUUUGCGCCACUCUCGCGAACGAGAGACCACCGGUUCAUUUUAGGUUUGCCCGACUAAAUCCACGACUCUUAUCUCGAGGGCUUUCUCGAACGGUCGCUGGCUCAAAUCAAACCCAAAACGCACUGAAUCUGGUACACAAAAAUGGACGAACUGAAUCAAUAACGAAAAUUUACACUAAAAAGAAACUAAAAACAGAAAUAACCACAGAAUCAAACAAUUAGGGAUCGCUGAAGUGAAUCUAUUUGAAUGAAUUUAAGGAAUAAAACAAAAAAAUAAUAAUAAUAAAACAAAGAAAACUUAAAACAAUUGAAUUCGUUCGUAUGUAUAUUGUCUUUUACAAAUGCUCGUCAAGUGUGUGUGUGUGUGUGUUGUGUGUGUGUAUGAUCAUGGCCAUGAACUCAAACGACGUACCUGCGCAGGCUUUUCCGUUGUCGGUGCAUUUCCGUGGCCAAUCGUCGACGUCGCGCUCUCCUUAUCGUUCGCCGGUUUAAAGGUGCGGAGGGGGAGUGUCGGCGGUCCGGUACUCUGCCCGAUCGUACGUAAACUGUACGCAGGAAGGCCGGACGUGAUCCCUACUCCGUUUGGCUGCCAGUUUUGGCGGGCGAGGAGCAGCGGAAAUGGCUUAAAGCCCAAAAUAAAAAGCGUCUUGGACGCUUUGAAACAACAAGUAAAGGCACAGGGAGCAGAGUGUCUGCCCCUGGCGACAAAAUCCAAUAUAAUUAACUUUAAAACAGAACGAACUGGGAGAAGGUCGCCGAAGCUCACUUCUGCUCACCAGCCGACUCAACUAUGAAGUGAUGGAGUCAGUCGAAAUCUCUAGUCAAGUAAAUUUCCUGCUAUUGAAGCAGUCGUCUAUUCAAUCUUAAAACUAUUAUAUACAAGUGCGCCAAAUUUAAAUCGCACAUGGCCGUAAAAACUAUUUAGCGCCAUCGAAAAAGUCCUAUAAGAUAAGUAACAUGAAUCGUCAUUAGCUUAGCCUAGACACAAACCUUACAUGAAACGGAUAAUCUCUACUAGAUGAAACGGUUCAAACUCAAAGACAAAUUCAACGAAUCCGAUUUAUAUAAGAUUUUACUUUAAAAAGAUAAAAACGUCAAAAGCUACAAAUUAAACUAAAAUAAUCAUGAAAACUAAUAAUGAAUUAUAAAAAAAAACAAAUUUUAAAAUCAAAAUCGAAAUAUUCAAAAAAUUUAACAAUUCAAUCUAACUGAAUUCAAACUUUAUUUUACUUAAACAGAAUAAAAACGUCAAAACGUUACAUCACACCACCCAGUUUUAUGAAAAUUUGAUCAGAGGAACUGAUCAAAUUUUCAUAACUCACAAAAUACUCUAAAAAACACAGUUGAAUCAAACUUAACGUAAAACAAAACUUAUGUCCAGUUUACAUUGAUGGUCAUAGAGCAAUUAACAACACGGAAAGACUCGAACACGACUACCACAAAGGGAAUUCUCCACUGUCAAACAACUUACAUAAUCGUUACUCGUUGAACGAUUACCACAAUGGGAACUCCUCAAUGUCAAUAAACUUACAUAGCCGUGAUCUUAACGUAACGGAACUACAGUUAGCUGCAUCAUCAACGCCUUCGUUGACGCAUUCGCAAAUCUAACUGCUUAAACUCGGAUCCUCAGAGUCCAUCAGCUCAUUGCGUCUGACCUCCUCCCUGAUUCUCCUUAACGUAACGGAACUACAGCUGGUUGCAUUAUCAACACCCUCGUUGACACAUUUGCAAACCAAACUGCUUAAACUCGGAUCAUCAGAGUCCAUCAGCUCAUUGCGUCUGACCUCCUCCCUGACUCUCCUUAACGUAACGGAACUAAACCGCAGCUGAUUGCACAUCAAAACUGUGUUUGACUCAUUCGCAAUCAAACGCUGCAUAAACGUAAGCAGAAAUAAAUUCUAAACAUCAAACAUAAUUUGACCAAAUUCAGAAUCUGCAAAAAAUAUCGAACAGCUCUAUGUUAACAUCGAAUGCAAACUGACAGCAUAAAAUCUUGCAUGCAAGUUCUACUACCAACUGCAACGAAACGUACUGUCAACGCAAGUGACGUCCGCGCUGUCACCGACGCGAGACGAUAAUGAACGGAAAAAAAAAUAAAAACAACGGUGUUGGUCGUCGCGGUCGCGAGAGAAAGGAAAAACGCCAUAAUUCAUAAACCGGGGGAGUAUUCGUUACUUUUAUAUCAUAAAACUUAAGGAAUAAUUGCUUUAUGUAUUAUUUACAGAUAUUCGUCGCGGGACUUCGUCGAGAAUGGAAAAAAAACGGUAAAAGGUAAAGUGCGAUUAAAAAUUAUCUAUAUAAAUUAAACAUGAUGGCUUCCUAGGUGGUUUCUAUCGUACUCGUUACGGUAGAAAUGUAAACAUCGCUAACGGACUUUGUUUCCGUAUUCGACACGAUUGGCUAAUUGAUUUUUAUUGCGAUUGUUGUCGAGGGAUUUAACCCUGCGCUAAACUGUGCAAAUUGAUGUUUUCUAGAUGAAAACCUGAUUCGAUGGGUCAAACUAACUAAAAUAACCAGAAGGGAAAAAAAAACUAAUCAAAAUAUGAACAUAUUCCGCAACUUUUAAUGCAUAUCGUUAUUUACAGAUGACUCGAUGUAUUCUCAACGGAGCAUGAACCGACGGCGAUACCAGUUGCUCUACCGAUAACCGGAAUAAGUUGGAAUAGAGCGUGAACGAAAUUUGAAGAUCGUGCAAGGCCUUUCUAAAAACGCUAGAGAUGUACCUGGUUCUUGCAGAUGCAGACGAUCCUCUAGCCUGCGCGGGAAUCAAUUCAUUCAACGAUGACGGUCAAAAUCGUCGGAGGGUCAGAUUCGAAUGACACUGGAAUACCUUCUUCUGUACGGAUCUUGGCACCGGUGGACCAAAACUCGCGGCGAAUAGCGAUAUUAACAACGGACCCAGGAAACGCGACCGACACGACUCAACGACGACCGAAAACGAGUGGUUUUGGAGCAUCUACUGCACCCUGGCAUCUACUACACGAGGAAAAAGUCAAAUAAACGGGUGAGUCAUUUAUAUUUUUUCACUAAUUUUAAAUUUAGAACUAACAUAGAAUAAGUAAAGAAUGCUAAAUUAGUUCCGUAAGCCUUUACGCUAACCAGAACUCUUAAGAGAAAUAUUUGGUUGAUUUGCUAAAAGCAAUCUUCCAAACACGUCAGAACAACACAACAAAAAUGUACAUACAAAAUUUCAUUGAUCGAAUUCAAUGAUAAUUUUGCUUUAAAAAGAGAAAAACGUCGAAAACGUUUUUUCUAUACAUAUAUUUCUAUUUAGUCUUCAACGAAAGGUCUCAAAUGUCUAAAAUUCAUUAAAAACUAUUUUUUUCUUAAAAAAAACAUCAAAAGGAAAAUAUAAUAAUGCAAAAAUCAAUUAAAAACAUAAAAUUCCAUCAUUAGUCAUAAAAAAGUCAUUUAUAUGCACUUUAUGCUUAAAGUUGAACUUCGCGUUAAAUUUGACUCAACUGAACGUAACUAAACUUAAAAAAAACUGAAAAGAACUGAAAAUUAAACGAAAUAAAGUCUGAAAUACCAAAAAAAAACGAAAAUUGUACGAAACUAAAAAAAAAUACUAAAUCCAAUUCAAUAAAACGCAAAACCGUAAUCAAAACUAAAAAUCAAUAAAAAUCAAACCAGAAAUUCAAAAAUAUCUUUAAAACUAAACAAAUUCAAUCUAAUUUAAGCUAAAAAGAAAAAAAUAACAAAAUCAAAUUCAAAAUACAAAAAACUCAAACAAAUAAUAAACUUUCCUCGAAUUCAAAUUAUUUAAGAAGAAAAUUUGUAGUUUUUAACGUUGGGCGCCAAUGUAACCGUUUCUCGAACGGUCGCUGGCUCAAAUCAAACCCAAAACGCACUGAAUCUGGUACACAAAAAUGGACGAACUGAAUCAAUAACGAAAAUUUACACUAAAAAGAAACUAAAAACAGAAAUAACCACAGAAUCAAACAAUUAGGGAUCGCUGAAGUGAAUCUAUUUGAAUGAAUUUAAGGAAUAAAACAAAAAAAUAAUAAUAAUAAAACAAAGAAAACUUAAAACAAUUGAAUUCGUUCGUAUGUAUAUUGUCUUUUACAAAUGCUCGUCAAGUGUGUGUGUGUGUGUGUUGUGUGUGUGUAUGAUCAUGGCCAUGAACUCAAACGACGUACCUGCGCAGGCUUUUCCGUUGUCGGUGCAUUUCCGUGGCCAAUCGUCGACGUCGCGCUCUCCUUAUCGUUCGCCGGUUUAAAGGUGCGGAGGGGGAGUGUCGGCGGUCCGGUACUCUGCCCGAUCGUACGUAAACUGUACGCAGGAAGGCCGGACGUGAUCCCUACUCCGUUUGGCUGCCAGUUUUGGCGGGCGAGGAGCAGCGGAAAUGGCUUAAAGCCCAAAAUAAAAAGCGUCUUGGACGCUUUGAAACAACAAGUAAAGGCACAGGGAGCAGAGUGUCUGCCCCUGGCGACAAAAUCCAAUAUAAUUAACUUUAAAACAGAACGAACUGGGAGAAGGUCGCCGAAGCUCACUUCUGCUCACCAGCCGACUCAACUAUGAAGUGAUGGAGUCAGUCGAAAUCUCUAGUCAAGUAAAUUUCCUGCUAUUGAAGCAGUCGUCUAUUCAAUCUUAAAACUAUUAUAUACAAGUGCGCCAAAUUUAAAUCGCACAUGGCCGUAAAAACUAUUUAGCGCCAUCGAAAAAGUCCUAUAAGAUAAGUAACAUGAAUCGUCAUUAGCUUAGCCUAGACACAAACCUUACAUGAAACGGAUAAUCUCUACUAGAUGAAACGGUUCAAACUCAAAGACAAAUUCAACGAAUCCGAUUUAUAUAAGAUUUUACUUUAAAAAGAUAAAAACGUCAAAAGCUACAAAUUAAACUAAAAUAAUCAUGAAAACUAAUAAUGAAUUAUAAAAAAAAACAAAUUUUAAAAUCAAAAUCGAAAUAUUCAAAAAAUUUAACAAUUCAAUCUAACUGAAUUCAAACUUUAUUUUACUUAAACAGAAUAAAAACGUCAAAACGUUACAACAGAAAAUAUGUUUCAAUAGGAAAUAAAAUCAGGAGAUUGCUUCGUUAUUUAACCCUGGUAGGAUGUUGGGGUCUAUAUGACCCAGACAGGCUCGCUGAACGUACACUAAGCUAUCGUGGUGCGCCUAGCCUAACAUCUUAGCAGAGUAAAGGAAAACUCGAAAACCAAAAAAUGAGGUGGUUGUAGGCGUUCUAUUUCGGUGGCUAUCAGAAGAGGUUUGAGAAGUGCUACGGAAAUUAUGAGAGUGUUUCAGGGUGUUUGUAGAGGUGGGUUGCAUUGUUUUUUUUUUUUCUGAAAACCUACCCGAUUCCCUGAAAGGGUCCUAAAUCUUCUUGAAACCCCCUGGAACGUUCCUGCAUUCUUUUUAAAACUCCCUGAAAUCCCUGAGGUUACCUUGAAAAUUUAAAACAUUGCAUUGCAGAAAUUGAGAAUUUCCAAGAAUAACUUGUGCUAGCUAUUUUUAUUGUAUGCUGCGCGCAACCACGAACGAUUAACCAACCGAAGAAGUUGGACCUAGAAUCAGCUAAAUAAUCAAGACAAAGUAUGUGUUGAAUCGUGGGGUUUCCGUGAAUCUAUGCUGUUCAGAAUCGGUCGGUCUUUGGCUGACUAACAGUCCUAAUCAGCAGACGUUUAAAAUCAGAUGAUUUUGGGAGCCUUUGAGAGUUCUCCUAUGAAAAUUCAACAUUUGCGCGUUUGUUCAGCAGUUGUAAACAGUGGCAUACACGAACCUGUCAACUGAAAAGGCCUAUAUAAACGGUCUCUACAAAAACUCUGAAAAUGUUGUUUUGACAAAACCUCCGAGGGGCUGUCCAUAAACGAAGUAGCAUUUUUUGGGCCAAUUUUCGACACCUACGUGGCUCGUAGCAAUUUCAGGAACUCCCCCCUCUCCCAUAAAUUGCUACGUCAUUUAUGGACGACCCCCGAGAAGAGAGAGAGAUUGCCAAAAUGAGUACGUAGUUUAUGGACAGCGCGCAGUUAUUUCUAGAUAAUUCCUCCAGGAAUUCUUGCUAGGAAAUUCCCCAUGUUAUUAUUCCAGGAGUUCCUGAAAAUUCUCCUUUUUUCAGAAAUUCCACCGCAUGUUCCUCCAGGAACUCCUAAAGGGAUUGUUUCCGGAAUUUCUCCAUAGAUUGUUGCGUGGAAUGACUGUCAAAAGUUCCUGCAAGAUUUUCCUUAAGAUUUCUUCAAUGAAUUCGUUCAGUGAUUCCUCAAGGAAUCAUCUAAAAUGCAAGUAAGGGUCGCCAAUCUCGAGUCACCACCAACGAACCUAACCUCAAAAUGACUGACAACUCUCAGUGUCUCAGUUCUUUUUGACAGAUGUAACAUAAGCAUAAAAUGGACGGCUACAAAAUCGAUAAAGUAGAAUAUAUGAUCCGUCUCUUCCGUGUAUGUUUGUUGUUUUGUCAAAAUGACCUGAGAAGGGUCAAACAUUUUCAUGGCUAGCGUUGUUAUUGCAAUGAAGAAUAGUACAAAAUAGACAGCCCGUCUAAAAAUACACAAUUUUCUGAUUGUCUUAGCUUAACAGAAGGACUUCCACUUCAGGGCACAGCUACUACAUUUAACUCUCCUUGUGCAUUAGGGUCAUUUCUGACCCAAACCGUGCACUACUUUAGCGAGCUGCUGCCUACGUGAUGCAUUAGGAAUGUCAUGGCGCAGACAAACAGACGUAAGACUUGCAAACUUUCCAUCGACCACGCUUUUAACGAUCAUUAUAAAUCUUCAUAGUUGCAAUUGCUGAUUUCAAAUAGGGUAUUGGUUCCCUUCUUAAGCAUGUGGCUCCCAUUUUCAUCCUACGAAAAACAAAGGAUUGAAGCGCUGUUUGUUUUGUUUCUUAUUUUUGUAUUUUUUAUUAGAAGUGAGUACCCAUGAAAACAAAAAGAACGGAAUCAAUCGGUGCCGUAAUCGCUUGUUUUCGAAUAGGAUGAAUAUGGGAGCGUGAGAUUAAUGAUGGAACACUACCCUAGAUCACUGUUUGCUUAUGGGUUACAAACUAGAGUGUGAAGGAAUCUAAAUUCAAUUGAACCUAUACGAAAUGAACGUUUCAAAAGUUUCAGUGGUUACUUUUCAACAUUAUUCCACGGAAAAUCAAAUGAAAAUAGAAAAACUAUAGUGAUCUUGUACCGAAUGAGUGUAAUCCGUUUUGUAUCUUUUAAUUCCGCCCUAUUUUGCUUAUGGGUCAUUCCAUAUGAAGUGACCGAGAAAAUGUGAAAACUUGCAACCGACCAUCACGGAUUUGAACCAAAUUUGGUUGAAACAUUUGUUUAGAUGGAAAAAGAAAAAAAUCCAAAUUUUGGUGCCGAUCGGAUCACCCCUCGGCCCGUGGCAGCACCCCUCGUUUUGGCCGAUAUGAAAAUUAUCCUCUCUUUCUUUUAUUUUUAUCAUUGAAACGAUUGCACCUACACAUUUUCGACCUUCGGAUUUUUAAAGGAAAUCGUUCAGGGAAUCCAGAAAAAAUAUUAUUUUUUUGAUACAGUGUUGCCAGAUAUCAUAUUUUUCAAUUUUAAAACUAAAAAUCGAUUUUUCUCAAAAUUCGUAUAUUUUGAUUUUAAAAUUUUUGAUUCCAUCGUGUUUAUCAGACGUUUUUCGAUCGAAAAAGCUUAACUCCCCAAAGUAAUUUGCGUCGUUCCUGAGAUAUAGCGUUUUUAAGAAAAAAUAUUCAUUUUUUUCAUAUAAAAUAUCAUAUAAAAUCAGUUGCAGUUUAUAAAAUUCGCAAAAAAAAUGUUCGAUGCCAUACAAAGACGUUUCGUGUUGAUUUGAACAAUAUCAAGUAUAAAAAAGAUAAAAAAAUGUUCAUCAAUUAUGAGUCUAUCGUAAUGGACUAGCAUAACCUGUUGAACUAAAAAAAAUGUAUCUAUUGAGAUCAUCGAGUCUAAACAAAUUUCAUAUAUUUUAACAUUAUCUGAACAGAAAUGCUGCCAAAUAUGUAAUAUUUAUUGUAGAAAUCUUAAUUUCACUAGAACAUUAGUAUGAAAUCUAAUUAACAAGCCAAAAGUAUUUUUUAUUUAGGUUUAGUACAUUUGGCAACAUCGACGUAAAAUAUAUUCAGGAAAACAUUUGAUGAGUGUAUUUAUAAGCAACAGUGCUGAAAAUGUCAUUUCGAUAUAACUACAUUCAAUGACCCACAGCUAAUUUCAGAAGCUGAACCUGAAAAUAUGGAAUAUGAUGAAAUAUGAAGUAUGAUAUCCUUUGGAAUUAGAUAAUAUUAGAUACUACGCAUCGUCGCGCAACUGGUAGCUCAGACUUCAGUAUUUUUAUUUUAUAUUCGAAGGUCCAACUCCUUAUAAAAAUCCCUGUAAAAUAUAUUUUGAUUGAUUUUUACGACAGUGUUGCCAAGUAUGCUAGUAUUUAGCGGAAACGCAAACAAUAGGUGCGGGGAUGCUUAGUAUUGCGUUUACUCUUACUGGAUUGCAGAAUAAUCAGAAUAAUAGGUCAUGUCCUUUAUUGUCCCGGGCAGAGAAGUGAAGAACAGUGUUGAGUAUUGUGUUGUCUAUUGAUGUGAUUGCAUAUGGUAUGAGUUUUUGUUUGUUCUUCGUGGCGAAGAAUGAACAAAAUAUUCUGAGUGAAAUGGAUUAGUGGCGUAAGCUCCCUAGAGCCUACUUUUCUUAGGCUUUUUUUGCAUGGAAAAGAGAUCGGUUGUACGCGAAGGUUAAUUCCGACAAAUCAAAUCGAUUGUUCGAUCAAUUAUACACAAUCAGUUGAGCUCGGCUAAUUUUCAUUCUUUUGCCGAGAUCCGCACAGCCGAGCGCUCGGCAAUUGCAAUUUAACUGAGAUAUCAGCAAAAAAUAAAGUUUAUUCAUAGCAGCACCCGUCGGUGCCGCUAUCAUUAAACAUCAAACGUCAAGCGUUUAGCCGAGAUUUCAGCCAAUGAACUUUAACCGAGAUCCGCACAACCUAUCUCGGCAUUCUGUAUUAAGUGUGUAGGUGACUCCCAGAUCGACAAUGUAUAGUAUCAUAUUAUUGCGACAUUUGCACCCAUUUAGACUCGGCUGAAAUUCAUUAUCAACACAGUCGAAUUUCGCACACGACUUCGCAGCGGCUGGCAUGCACAAGUUCGGUUGAGUUCAAGACAGGGGCGUCGGAUGCACAACAGGUAAACAAAAUAAGCUUGAUUAGUGUAAAAUUUCGCUGGGAAAUGAUGAUUCAGUGGAUUCUCAAAUUAUCACAGUAGUCUAAACAUUAAUGAGAAACCCAAUAAGGAUCGGCAUAUUCGCCUCACUCCAUUCAUAUUCACUCCUCUUUGCUGAAUCGAAUCGAGAAAGAUGCAGCAAACGGAUUGUCGUGAUCAUGCACGCAACCCCAUCACCAGUGAAAGCCAUGCGCAAGUUGCUUGACAUGGAUAUUCGUUGCCGUUCGUCGCAGUUUUGAUCGCAAGCGAAUGAAUGAAUGGCGAAUGGUGAAGAAUGCUGGUGAGCGAUCGAAGUGGCUGCUGUCGUCGCUGAUAAGCAAACACACAAACUAAAGCGAUAAUCGUUCGCUGCGAUUAACCAUGGAGUAGCAAUUAUGAAUUGUGUUGCCAUCUAUGCUCAUACUCAUGCAGUGUUGCAAAAUGUGCUCGUUAUGUAUAAAAAACAGAAAUCAUUUGUUUUUAUUUGGUGUUAUCUAUUUACGAAAGCUUUCGUGUAAAUUAGAUGUUAACAAUAAAAAUGACAUGUGUGGCAACACUUCCAUCUACAACAUCGUUGAAAUGAACAAAAUGACAAUUGAAAUGAAUUUCACAAUAGAUACAUUUUAUAUUUUAACAAUUUAUCCUCAUCUUUCCAAUAAACCAAUUUUUUAUUGCUAACUAUCAAACUAACAAUAACUGUCAAUUAUCGGGUCAUUUUGUCAGAUAGGACCAUAAACAAGAAAACACAGACAAGCAGACGUAACAUUGGAAGAAAUUCCAACGACCACGGUUUUAACGAUCUUUUUAAACCUUUAUAGUUGUAGCUUUCACAACCAGAGGUGCGCACAUCAUUUUUCUAAGCGUUAGACGUUUCACCUAGGUGUUACGUCUGUUUGUCUGUGAAGAAAAGGUCAACAACAGGGUCGUUAGAGAAGAUGUGUAUUGUUUUUAUCUUGCUCACACAUCUUGCAACACACAUGGUGCGAUUUUUCAGAAUAACCUGUACAUUGUCAAACACUUGAAGGUUAGGUUUCAUGGUAUAAUAAAAAAGGUAAACUGGCAACACUGUCAUAUUUUUUUUAAUUCUUUAUGCAAUUCAGUAUUAUAAUUUCUAUUUUAUACAACUAAUUUCGGUAUCAUAAUGGCCAAUUUUUCCGAACUGGUUCAUAAUGCAACUGAAAUGAGUUGCAUUAUGAAAAAUAGUUGCAUAAUGUUCAUAAUGCAACCCAUUUGAGUUGCAUUAUGAACAUUAUGCAACUCAAAUGAGUUGUAUAAUGAAAAAAACAUUGCAUAAAAUUUUGUAUGAAACUCGUUGCAAAACUCGAUUUUUUCAGCACUCUUCGUAUUUAUCCAACUCGGCAAGCCUCGUUGGAUAAAUGUACGACUCGUGCUGAAAAAAUCAACUUUUUGCAACUAGUUGCAUAAAUAACUAUUUUAUACUCGAUAUUGUUCAAAUCAGCACAAAACGUGAUUAUAUGGCAUCGAACAAUGUUUUUUACGAAAUUUAUAAACUGCAUCUGAUUUUAUAUGAUACUUUAUAUGAAAAAAAUGAAUAUUUUUUCUUUAAAACGCUAUAUCUCAGGAACGACGCAAAUUACCUUGGGGAGUUAAGCUUUUUCGAUCGAAAAACGUCUGAUAAACACGAUGGAAUCAAAAUUUUUAAAAUCAAAAUAUACGAAUUUUGAGAAAAAUCGAUUUUUAGUUUUAAAAUUGAAAAAUAUGAUAUCUGGCAACACUGUAUCAAAAAAAUAAUAUUUUUUCUGGAUUCCCUGAACGAUUUCCUUUAAAAAUCCGAAGGUCGAUAAUGUGUAGGUGCAAUCGUUUCAAUGAUAAAAAUAAAAGAAAGAGAGGAUAAUUUUCAUAUCGGCCAUAACGAGGGGUGCUGCCACGGGCCGAGGGGUGAUCCGAUCGGCACCAAAAUAUGGAUUUUUUCUUUUUCCAUCUAAACAAAUGUUUCAGCCAAAUUUGGUUCAAAUCCGUGAUGGUCGAUUGCAAGCGGUCGGUUACUUGGCGUGGAAUGACCCUUAUCCUUUGACAGAAACGCGUAUUUCGACUACCACUUGUAAUCUUCCUCAGUGUCAGUUAUCCACAGUUGGAUAGUGGUAGUCAAAAUACGCGUAUCUGUCAAAGGAUAUGCAAAAUAGGGCGGAAUUAAAAAGGUACAAAACUGAUAACACUAAUUUAAAUUAAACUACAGUCCUAAUUGGUUCAACCAUUGAUUUUUUUUCUCUUUUUCAUGAAAAUAUCUAUGUGAAAUAUGUAAAUAUCAAUACAAUCAAAGCAUUUCACCCCGACCUCCCCACACGCCUAGCUUGUUUGCUACUACUAGCUCUCAUUUGCUCUCCCUCUGUAUCUCUCGCGGACGGUCAACACUAUUUAGAAUAUCGGUCGCGUAGUCACUCAUCGCAGUUUCCCUUCUGAACUCGGACGAGGUUUUUCGCACGCAAAAGUUGUCAUCUCCGCGCGUUUAAACGUUUACGGUCAUAAAUCCAGUAGCUAGUGACAAUCUGGAAUCAAUCCGUCGACGACGGUGACAUCAGGUGACGGUGACGAAGAAAAGAUCCGCGCGCUCGGUGUUCAUGUGACCCCUAAAAGUAUGUAAUUUUUCCUGGAGGUUGAAAGUGAUCGAAGCGGUAGGGAAAACACCACCCAUCGCAUCGCAUCGCCUAUCGGUGGAAUCGAGGGGGGUGAAAAUCCUUACGUUCAUGAUCAACGUCAAGUGCGUGGGUGAAGCUUGUUGAAAACCAGCGAAAAUGGUGACUUUAACCGAACGGACUUGGUGAUUUGCGGUUGAAGAGAGCGUGAAAUUGAUACGCGAAACGAACGAAACGAAAUCAAAUUGAACUACAUAUCGAGUGAUUAACGAAGCGAACUC